GAUGAACGCUGGCGGCGUGCCUAAUACAUGCAAGUAGAACGCUGAAGCUUGGUGCUUGCACCGAGCGGAUGAGUUGCGAACGGGUGAGUAACGCGUAGGUAACCUGCCUCUUAGCGGGGGAUAACUAUUGGAAACGAUAGCUAAUACCGCAUAAAAGUCGACAUUGCAUGAUGUUGACUUGAAAGGUGCAAUUGCAUCACUAAGAGAUGGACCUGCGUUGUAUUAGCUAGUUGGUGAGGUAACGGCUCACCAAGGCAACGAUACAUAGCCGACCUGAGAGGGUGAUCGGCCACACUGGGACUGAGACACGGCCCAGACUCCUACGGGAGGCAGCAGUAGGGAAUCUUCGGCAAUGGGGGCAACCCUGACCGAGCAACGCCGCGUGAGUGAAGAAGGUUUUCGGAUCGUAAAGCUCUGUUGUAAGAGAAGAACGAGUGUGAGAGUGGAAAGUUCACACUGUGACGGAACUACCAGAA
rnacentral:rRNA from 1 species